rnacentral:rRNA from 1 species
CCUACGGGUGGCAGCAGUGGGGAAUAUUGGGCAAUGGACGCAAGUCUGACCCAGCAACGCCGCGUGAAGGAAGAAGGCUUUCGGGUUGUAAACUUCUUUUAAGGGGGAAGAGCAGAAGACGGUACCCCUUGAAUAAGCCACGGCUAACUACGUGCCAGCAGCCGCGGUAAUACGUAGGUGGCAAGCGUUGUCCGGAUUUACUGGGUGUAAAGGGCGUGCAGCCGGAGGGACAAGUCAGAUGUGAAAUCCACGGGCGCAACCCGUGAACUGCAUUUGAAACUGUUUCCCUUGAGUGUCGGAGAGGUAAUCGGAAGUCCUAGUGUAGCGGUGAAAUGCGUAGAUAUUAGGAAGAACACCAGUGGCGAAGGCGGAUUACUGGACGAUAACUGACGCUGAUGCUCGAAAGCGCGGGUAUCGAACAGGAUUAGAUACCCUUGUAGUC